rnacentral:rRNA from 1 species
GAUGAACGUUGGCGGUGUGCCUAAUACAUGCAAGUCGAACGGAGUUAGUAGCAAUACUGGCUCAGUGGCGAACGGGUGAGUAACGCGUUGGUGAUCUGCCUUGAAGUGUGGAAUAACGUUUCGAAAGGAACGCUAAUACCGCAUGUGCUCUCGAUUUUCAGAAAGUUGAGAGUAAAGGAUUUAUUCGCUUCAAGAGGAGCCUGCGUCCCAUCAGCUGGUUGGUAGGGUAACGGCCUACCAAGGCUAGGACGGGUAGGGGACCUGAGAGGGUGGCCCCCCACAAUGGAACUGAAACACGGUCCAUACACCUACGGGUGGCAGCAGUAGGGAAUAUUAGAAAUGGACGAAAGUCUGAUCUAGCAACACCGCGUGUGCGAAGAAGGCCUUCGGGUCGUAAAGCACUUUUUGGAAGGAAUAGGAAGGAAUGUACUUCCAGAAUAAGUCUCGGCUAACUACGUGCCAGCAGCCGCGGUAACAC